UGGGGAAUAUUGGACAAUGGGCGAAAGCCUGAUCCAGCAAUGCCGCGUGAGUGAUGAAGGCCUUAGGGUUGUAAAGCUCUUUUACCAGGGAUGAUAAUGACAGUACCUGGAGAAUAAGCUCCGGCUAACUCCGUGCCAGCAGCCGCGGUAAUACGGAGGGAGCUAGCGUUGUUCGGAAUUACUGGGCGUAAAGCGCACGUAGGCGGUUACUCAAGUCAGAGGUGAAAGCCCGGGGCUCAACCCCGGAACU
rnacentral:rRNA from 1 species